UCGAGUUUCAAAAUCCCAAGAAGUUUGAAAUACGAAGUUACAUUUUCCUUAGAAUGAGCAAAAAAUACACUUCUGCAUGAUAUAACCUUAUCUUGUUUUGUUCUUAUUUUGUUCAGCUGUAUACGUAUUCCCCUGGCUCAUAAUUCCAUAACUAAGAUACGGAUAAACAAGCGUAAAAUAGAGUUGCUUGAUGAAGACAGUAUCUUAGUUUAGUUAUUAUACCUACAUUUUCAGCAAUUUUAUUAUUUACAUGUUUUAUUUGAUACUCCCAACUAAGAUGCUCAUCUAAGAAGAUUCCUAAGUAUUUUAUAUUUAACAAAUAUAAAACAUUUUCCGUGUUGAUAUACAGUUAUAUCAACACGAGUGGAAAUUGUGAAAACGAGAAAUUGUGUGGAAACACGACGCCCGAAGGGCGGAGUGUUUUCACACAAUUUCGAGUUUUCCCAAUUUCCACGAGUGUUGAUAUAACUAUAUAUCAAUACGGAAAAAAUGUUUUAUAUUUGUUUUAUAAUAUAGCACAAAGAAACAUAAAAAAAGAAAUUUUCCGACGUUUCCGUGUUGACAUCGAGUUAUAUCAACACGGCUCUUAGCCAUGCAAUCAGCGUUCAGAAUCUACAAAUGCUAUAUUAUAAAACUUUUUUGUUUAACUUUGUUGAGCACUUAUGUAUAUCAUUUAUGUAAAGCAAAAAUAAUAGUGCCCUAGCGUGGAACCUAGGCCCUGUACUGCCUUCUGUUUUCUAUAAAUAGCUUUUAAACCAUAACAAUUGAUUCCCACGAAUUCCAUAGUCAUUAAUUUGGAAUUCGAUGGAAUUUGAUGGUUUAUAGUAUCAAAUGCUUUCGAGAAAUUUAAAAAUAAACCACAGGUAAUCAACUUAUUAUCAAUAGCGUCAUUUAAAUUUUCAGUAAUUUCAAAAAUAGCCUGUUCAGUAGAACACCCUUUCCGAAAGGCAAACUGAUGUUCAAAGUGACAAAGAGAACAUUGUUUUUUUUCAAGAAAUUGCAACACCAAUCUCUGCAUGGAAUACAGUAUCUAUUACAUACAAAAAGUUAUAGGAGGAAAUAAGAUUAAAUAAAAUAUCGCAGUGCAAACACCUUCAGAAAUUUAUCCCAAUUUUGAU